ACGAGAAAGUGGAGCAAUCCAUGAGUAAAGUGGCGACCGGGUGAGUAACACGUAGCUAACCUACCCUCGAGUGGGGGAUAACCUGGGGAAACCUGGGCUAAUACCGCAUAAGAUCCCGACGGCGUCAGCCGUUGGGAGCAAAGGCCCGCAAGGGCCGCUGGAGGAGGGGGCUGCGGCCGAUUAGCUAGUUGGUGAGGUAACGGCCCACCAAGGCGAUGAUCGGUAGCCGGCCUGAGAGGGCGCACGGCCACACUGGCACUGACACACGGGCCAGACUCCUACGGGAGGCAGCAGUGGGGAAUUUUGCACAAUGCCCGCAAGGGUGGUGCAGCAACGCCGCGUGAGGGAUGAAGGCCUUCGGG
rnacentral:rRNA from 1 species